GCCUGGGUGGCUCAGUUGGUUAAGCAUCUGACUUCAGCUCAGAUCAUGAUCUCGUGGUCUGUGAGUUUGAGCCCCACGUCAGGCU
rnacentral:tRNA from 1 species